rnacentral:rRNA from 1 species
CCCGUACACAAAAGCGCACAUGCUGUGAGCUCGAUGAGUAGGGCGGGACACGUGGUAUCCUGUCUGAAUAUGGGGGGACCAUCCUCCAAGGCUAAAUACUCCUGACUGACCGAUAGUGAACCAGUACCGUGAGGGAAAGGCGAAAAGAACCCCGGCGAGGGGAGUGAAACAGAACCUGAAACCGUGUACGUACAAGCAGUGGGAGCCUCUCUUUAUGGGGGGUGACUGCGUACCUUUUGUAUAAUGGGUCAGCGACUUAUAUUCUGUAGCAAGGUUAACCGCAUAGGGGAGCCGAAGGGAAACCGAGUCUUAAUUGGGCGUUAAGUUGCAGGGUAUAGACCCGAAACCCGGUGAUCUAGCCAUGGGCAGGUUGAAGGUUGGGUAACACUAACUGGAGGACCGAACCGACUAAUGUUGAAAAAUUAGCGGAUGACCUGUGGCUGGGGGUGAAAGGCCAAUCAAACCGGGAGAUAGCUGGUUCUCCCCGAAAGCUAUUUAGGUAGCGCCUCGUGAACUCAUCUCCGGGGGUAGAGCACUGUUUCGGCUAGGGGGCCAUCCCGGCUUACCAACCCGAUGCAAACUGCGAAUACCGGAGAAUGUUAUCACGGGAGACACACGGCGGGUGCUAACGUCCGUCGUGAAGAGGGAAACAACCCAGACCGCCAGCUAAGGUCCCAAAGUCAUGGUUAAGUGGGAAACGAUGUGGGAAGGCCCAGACAGCCAGGAUGUUGGCUUAGAAGCAGCCAUCAUUUAAAGAAAGCGUAAUAGCUCACUGGUCGAGUCGGCCUGCGCGGAAGAUGUAACGGGGCUAAACCAUGCACCGAAGCUGCGGCAGCGACACUUUAGUGUUGUUGGGUAGGGGAGCGUUCUGUAAGCCGUUGAAGGUGUCCUGUGAGGGGUGCUGGAGGUAUCAGAAGUGCGAAUGCUGACAUAAGUAACGAUAAAGCGGGUGAAAAGCCCGCUCGCCGGAAGACCAAGGGUUCCUGUCCAACGUUAAUCGGGGCAGGGUGAGUCGACCCCUAAGGCGAGGCCGAAAGGCGUAGUCGAUGGGAAACGGGUUAAUAUUCCCGUACUUGGUGUUACUGCGAAGGGGGGACGGAGAAGGCUAUGUUGGCCGGGCGACGGUUGUCCCGGUUUAAGCGUGUAGGUGUGUGUUCCAGGUAAAUCCGGUUCACUUUAACACUGAGGCGUGAUGACGAGGCACCACGGUGCUGAAGCAACAAAUGCCCUGCUUCCAGGAAAAGCCUCUAAGCAUCAGGUAACAUCAAAUCGUACCCCAAACCGACACAGGUGGUCAGGUAGAGAAUACCAAGGCGCUUGAGAGAACUCGGGUGAAGGAACUAGGCAAAAUGGUGCCGUAACUUCGGGAGAAGGCACGCUGACACGUAGGUGAAGUGAUUUACUCACGGAGCUGAAGUCAGUCGAAGAUACCAGCUGGCUGCAACUGUUUAUUAAAAACACAGCACUGUGCAAACACGAAAGUGGACGUAUACGGUGUGACGCCUGCCCGGUGCCGGAAGGUUAAUUGAUGGGGUCAGCGCAAGCGAAGCUCCUGAUCGAAGCCCCGGUAAACGGCGGCCGUAACUAUAACGGUCCUAAGGUAGCGAAAUUCCUUGUCGGGUAAGUUCCGACCUGCACGAAUGGCGUAAUGAUGGCCAGGCUGUCUCCACCCGAGACUCAGUGAAAUUGAACUCGCUGUGAAGAUGCAGUGUACCCGCGGCAAGACGGAAAGACCCCGUGAACCUUUACUAUAGCUUGACACUGAACAUUGAGCCUUGAUGUGUAGGAUAGGUGGGAGGCUUUGAAGCGUGGACGCCAGUCUGCGUGGAGCCGACCUUGAAAUACCACCCUUUAAUGUUUGAUGUUCUAACGUGGACCCGUAAUCCGGGUUGCGGACAGUGUCUGGUGGGUAGUUUGACUGGGGCGGUCUCCUCCUAAAGAGUAACGGAGGAGCACGAAGGUUGGCUAAUCCUGGUCGGACAUCAGGAGGUUAGUGCAAUGGCAUAAGCCAGCUUGACUGCGAGCGUGACGGCGCGAGCAGGUGCGAAAGCAGGUCAUAGUGAUCCGGUGGUUCUGAAUGGAAGGGCCAUCGCUCAACGGAUAAAAGGUACUCCGGGGAUAACAGGCUGAUACCGCCCAAGAGUUCAUAUCGACGGCGGUGUUUGGCACCUCGAUGUCGGCUCAUCACAUCCUGGGGCUGAAGUAGGUCCCAAGGGUAUGGCUGUUCGCCAUUUAAAGUGGUACGCGAGCUGGGUUUAGAACGUCGUGAGACAGUUCGGUCCCUAUCUGCCGUGGGCGCUGGAAGAUUGAGGGGGGCUGCUCCUAGUACGA